GAGCAAAAUAUCGAAAGUCAAUAAGAGCCAGAUAGAAUGCUUCUUCUGUAAGAAGCUGGAUCAUUAAAAAAGAAAUUAUCCAGCAUACAUAGCCACCUUUGACACAAAUUGGCCUAAGAACAAGAGAAAGAAGCAAAUGGUUACUUCAUAAGGUACUUAUAUGAUAAUUCUUUAUAAUUUUUUUAUUUGUGAUACUACUACCUAGGUAUUGGAUACUGAAAGUCUGAUU
rnacentral:lncRNA from 1 species